GACGAACGCUGGCGGCGUGCCUAAUACAUGCAAGUCGAACGCACAGUUUAUACCGUAGCUUGCUACACCAUAGACUGUGAGUUGCGAACGGGUGAGUAACGCGUAGGUAACCUGCCUGGUAGCGGGGGAUAACUAUUGGAAACGAUAGCUAAUACCGCAUAAUAUUGAUUAUUGCAUGAUAAUUGAUUGAAAGAUGCUAUUGCAUCACUACCAGAUGGACCUGCGUUGUAUUAGCUAGUAGGUGAGGUAACGGCUCACCUAGGCGACGAUACAUAGCCGACCUGAGAGGGUGAUCGGCCACACUGGGACUGAGACACGGCCCAGACUCCUACGGGAGGCAGCAGUAGGGAAUCUUCGGCAAUGGACGAAAGUCUGACCGAGCAAAGCCGCGUGAGUGAAGAAGGUUUUCGGAUCGUAAAGCUCUGUUGUAAGAGAAGAACGGGUGUGAGAGUGGAAAGUUCACACUGUGACGGUAUCUUACCAGAAAGGGACGGCUAACUACGUG
rnacentral:rRNA from 1 species